rnacentral:lncRNA from 1 species
UUUUUUUUUUUUUUUGUUGUGAAAUUCAAUGUCUAUUAUUGUCAUUUUGUAUGAGGUUAUAUUUGUAAUCCAAUAAGUCAAAAUAUGUGGAGGUACACUGAGCAAAUCUGGAGGUCCCAAUAGCCGCACUCAAAAUUAAAGGGUAAAAUAUUGUAUAGUCUUUAUGAUUUGAAGUCAACAUUUGUUCAGUCCUUGUGGUUUUAUUUUAAUCUGAAUGGUCCUUAAAGUCACGAUCUUUCAUCCAAAUGGUCAUUCCGCCAAUUUUCUCAGUUAAAUUGAUGACGUGGCUGUUAAAAAUUACAAUAUCUUUAACGACCACGUCAGUAUUCUAAUAGAAAAAAUUGAUGGAAAUAGCACUUGGAUGAAAAAUCAUGACUUUAAGAACCAUUCAGAUUAAAAUAAAACCACAAGUAACGAACAAAUGUCGACUUCAAACCACAAAGACUAAAUAAAUUUCAAUUCAAAAUUAAAUAAAAUCAAAAUCGAAGUAACAAAAGCAAAGUGCCAGAGAAUUGAAGAACAUAACUAAAGCUAUAUAGAAUAAAAUCCAUUAUUCAAAAAAUAGAAGCAUCAAACCCAAUUAGCUAGCAACUACAAAAUAGCACAAACAACAAGCAAAGUAACUACCUUUGCGAUUCAACCAAUGCCUCAAUCAUGCUCCCAAAAAACCCCAAAUUUGCAAAUAGACAGAGCACUGAAGAGAGUCUAAAUGCACUAGAAAAUAUGGGUUAAGGCAAUGGAAGGGUAUAAUCAGCAAUUUUCUCCCAAGAUUUGAGCGUUGUCUCUUUGUACUUAAUUUUGUACAGCGCGAGUUUAGCUAUGGUGAAACUCAAGCUGGCAAUGCUUUCAUCCAAAAUGCUAACUUUUUCUACAGCUUUUUUCUUCUCUUCUUCUGUCAAAUUGCCAUAAAGGAGACUCAAAUAUGGUCUACCAUCUGCAGAGGAGGGUGGACAAAUCAAAUUUCAUACAAUAGAAAAAUUAGCAAAACAUACAGCUCUGGUCCAUUUCAAAAUAAUGUAUAAACUCUAUAAAAAAUAAUUUUUAAAACAGUAAGUUGUACAAUGAAGAGAAGUUACUCAGGUAACCAAAAUGUCCGUUGGAUAUGCCAGUUGUGUAUUUUAACUGCAAAUAGAAAAGUUUAGUGAUCUAACAUUACAUUAUUACUCACUGUGUUUUAAGACAAAUGAGAGUAAUUGAACACGCGGCUCUAUUAGUACCUAGAUAUAAAAUUAUAGGUGCCAUAAACAAAAAGAUGCAAGAAAUCUCCAAAUCAAAUUCAUUGUUUCAAAUUAGUCAAUCAUACAUCUAUCUAAAACAACACUUGAAAGCUCAUAUGAAGAAAAGACAAAACAUCAGAAUCAUAACAAGAACAACUAAUACCUGACUGCUUGCUUCUGAAGAUGUAUCAAUGAGUAGAGAAACACAUUGGUGAUAAAAAUUUGUGGUAACCACCAGACUAACUUUUGCUUGGUAGGCAUGGAAAUUUUUAGAACAGAGAGAUCUAAAUUCGUCGAGCACAUCUUCAUCCGUCGUACAAAUAGAUCCUAUAACAGGAAUAUGGGGUUCGAUCUCUGGCCCCCCAAACUCGGUUUUGAGACCUUCCAUCACCUUCUUGAUCCUGAGAGACACUUCAGCCAUUGGGAUUGCCCAUAUUGAAUAUGAGUUCCAUUCCAAAUCCAUUAUUGAAGGACUGGAUAAAGAGUCUGUGAGUGGAGAGAAGUUUGCCUGUAAAAUCAGCACAAAACAUCAAGAGUGUGCAUGUAAGGUAUUUCCGAACUAAAAAUACAAUUUGAACACACUUACUGAUACAAACUAAUUCAAGCAUUCAGAUAGAAAGAAGAAAAGAAAAUUAGCAAACUGUACCACACUGAAAUUAUCUCUUCUCUCGAGCUUGUGGUCUCCCAAGACUGAAGCUAUACUGUUCACAUAAACAACAGCUACAAUAUCAUCAGAAGUCGAAUAAGGCGUGUUAUGAAAGAGAGCAUCUUUAAGCCUUUCGCUACCAAGGUCGUAGGAGAGUACAAGUCCCAUAAAGUUAAGUCCCGUAAAGUCAUUCAGAAAAAUCUCAUUGCUAUUAAGCAAUGCCAAUGGCUUCUGAGUGGGUUCAAGAGUUAUGUGUUUUUUCCAAGCACCCUUCGGACCACCAAGUUCAUCCAGAACCCAUAUUUCAAAAGAAUAUUCACGUUCAGGUUUAUAAUCAUCAACCAAUACAAAAAGGGCAGGGGAUUCGUUCCACACUCGAAGAGCCAUAAAAGUUCGAGCCACAUUAGGUCGAUCAAAACUGUCAGGUGAUAUUAUGAAAUACCUCAUUUUGAAUAUCCAAUAAAAUGAUGACCUGCCUAAUGAGGUCCUCGUAUGCAUCCAACACAUUCAGUUCUUUGUGUUGCUCAUGUCCAAGCCAAUAAAGCAUUUGCUUGAAUUGCAUCUGGAAACUUUCAAGCCUAAAGACAGUGGUUUCUGUUUCUAAAGCAUUGGUGUUGAUCUUUGUCCAAGAAUCAGUACUCAAAGAGUAUAUUGCUGCCUUAGCACGAUUAUGAAUAUCAUAUCCCUCAUCCCUCCAAUUUGAAGCAUAACUUAGUCCAAUGUUAACAACUUUGUAUUCGUUCAAUUUAGCAUCAUAUCCAAAACCCUGAACAUCCGUGGAGUGCGACACAUCGUCACCCCAAAUAACAUCUGGAGGGUCGUCACCCCACGUACUAACUGGAAGGUAUGGAAAGGGGGGAAGAAGCUUAAAUUCUUGAAUUGGUGGGUUCCAUAAAAUCACCUGAAAAGAUUUAACUAGAAGUAGACAGAUGAUUCCAUUGCAGUGGCCUACCAUAUGAACUGCUUCCCCUUUAGUCUUUAGACUCAUACAAAGAGGAAUCUUGAUGUCCUCGACACUAGAAACAAUAAUUUUGUCCUCACCAUUGUCAAUACUGUCGUUAUUGCAUAAAUUAAGCAACGAAAAUACUAGCUCAUCUUCUUUUUUAUUUUCUUCUUCUUCUUCAGUGUUAUUAGUCGUGUCCUUGGAGAUUAAACGUUUCAUGACGAGCAAAUGCUUUGAAUUGUAAUUGUAACUGGAGAGGUGCUUAGCUACGAACCUGGGAUUGUUGAUCAGUGGAUACCACCUUUUAGAAGCGCAUUUGAAUCGCAUCAGAGCCUUGGGAGGCAGAGUUGCCAAGAUUUUCUCCACCAGAUCUUCACCAACCUCUGUCAUUUCUGCCACGUUCUUUCCUCUUCAACCUCUUCAAUUAAAAGUUGUAAAAGAGAAAAUUCAUUACAAUAGAUAACAACGAUAAUACUAGUUAUAAAAACAAUGGUGCAUAGAGAAUUAAUAAACGAAAUCGGCUCUGACUACAGAGAAUUAUGUACCUAAGUCCUUAACCUGCGAACUAGAACAAGAGAUGGGGAAAGAACUCAAAGAAGGGAUGAUGAUUCUGAGGUGAGUCUUCUGGAGAUCGAGACGAUAUAAGGAUUAUAAGCGAUGGAGAUUUGAGACUGAGAGUCACUGAGACAUGAAACAGCUUCCGAGUUCUGAUGGUGUUGUUUUGCUAUAUAUUUAUUUUAGGAUUAAACUCAGUAUGUUAUCCUGAACUAUAGGUCACUCAUCAGGUGUGUCCUUAUUCUUUUUUUUCAAUCACGUGUACCUCUAUAUUCUGAAAAUCUAUCAAACUCGGACAAAAAUCAAAAUUACACCUAAAAGUGACGUCAUGAUCUGACAUGGAAGAGACAACAAUGCCCCACUUGUCAGUUUUUAACCCCCAAAGAGGGUAAAGAUGUCAUUUUGCCCAUUUUACUGUUUUUUUUAUUGGAACUGAUUUUUUUUACUUUGUCAUUUUUUUUAUUCUGUUUUCUUCUCCUCUCCUUCCUCUCUCUCGAUUUCUCUCUGCAACUCUCAUCUUCCCCAAAUUUCUUUUCAAACCCUAAUCCUCCGUCAAUCUUUCUACUGGACCAUGGAAGCUCAUGUUCGACUUCCGCUCCCUCACCUUCCCCCUCUGCUUCGGCGACGUGCUCACGCGCCUCCGCUACAACGCCGCCUACUUCCGCAUGAACUACGCCAUCGUCGUCCUCCUGAUCCUCUUCCUCAGCCUCCUUUGGCACCCGAUCUCGCUCAUCGUGAUGCUCGCCGCCUGGCUCUUCCUCUACUUCCUCCGAGACGAGCCGCUCGUCCUCUUCGGCAGCACCGUCGUGACGAUUGCGCUUCUCUUUCUGACGUCAGGCAUGAUGAACAUCCUGGUGGCUCUGCUGAUCGUAGUGGUGGUGGUGGCGGUGCACACGAUGCCGAGGAAGACAGAGGAUUUGCACGUCGAUGAGGAGAACGCUGGAUUGAUGACCGGCCCAGUCGGAUCUUCAGCUUAGUUAGCUCAAUCCCAUCCCACUUGUUUUUUUUCUUUUUUGGUUUUUUUUUGGGUUUUGAAAUUUAUAAUUGAAUGAAGUUGUUGUAUCUACCUACAAUUGGUUGUGAUAUGAUCUAAUAGUGAAAAUUUGUUUUUGGCUUUGGUGUGUACAAAUGUCAGUGAAGUCUUGGCAGUUCUUGAGAGUGUACCGGAUUUGAGGUGGGGUUUUCUAGUUUUUACUGGGAAUUGUUGCCAUUUAGGAAUUGCAGAAUUGGGGUUGGGAAGUUGUUGAUGGCAUGGAUUGAGAACAAUGUUGCUAUUUUAGUAGUAGUUCAGUAGUUCCCCAGUACUAUCUGAGUGUACAUUCAUCUUCAUUUUCGAUUGUUCAAAUCAAACGGGUUCUUUCGGGGUGUAAUAGUUCUAGGGUUUGAAAAGAAAUUUGGGGGAAGAUGAGAGUUGCAGAGAGAGAUCGAGAGAGAGGAAGGAGAGGAGAAGAAACAAGAAAAAAAAAAUGGCAAAGUAAAAAACAAUCAGUUCCAAUAAAAAAAACAGUAAAAUAGGUAAAAUGACAUCUUUACCCUUUUGGGGGGUUAAAAACUGACAAGUGAGUCAUUGUUGUCUCUUCCACGUCAGAUAAUGACGUCACUUUUGGGUAUAAUUUAUAAUUUUGUCUGAGUUUGAUAGAUUUUCAAAGUAUAAGGGUAUACGUAAUUAAAAAAAAGAACAAGGACAUACCUGAUGAGUAACCUAAAGUUCAGGAUAGCACACUGAAUUUAAUCAUUUAUUUUAAUUAGGCUUUUUAUGGUUAGUUUUUCCUUUUGCAAAUAACAAAAAAAAUAAAUUAAUGCCAAUGAAUACCUGAGCUGGAUGAUUAUAAUUACAAUUCUUAUUAUAAUUAUAAUUAUAAUUACCUCAUAAAACAAAAAUGUGUUUGAAGAUUAAGGGUCACUUUGGAAACGCAUUUUCAGCCUUAUUCUUGCUUCUUCUUUUUUUUACCGUCAUGCGCUAUUUAUUUUGUUCGGUAAAAUUUAUAAACCUGCGUUUUCUCUAAAAUCGUGGGAGAGAACCACAAAUUCUAAAAACAUGUACGAGGAUGUUUUUUUCCAUCUGCAUUCACAUAAUGCAAUUUGAAAAGGCAUUUUGUGAAAUCCGAAAACACCCUUCAUGAAAUUCAAGAUUGAUGCUACCAAAUCCCAUUAUGAUUCGCACUUCAUUCUCCACUUUGUUCUUUGAUUUGAGCGUGAUUGCAUUGAAUUCUAUUAUAGUUUGCGCGCCUUAUUUUUGGGUUUCUCUCCUAUAUAUGGAUUCUGCUGGGGUUUAUUUGGUUAUACAAUUUUCUCUUUUCCCUGUUUAUCGAGGUUCUUCUUUUUGGUGAUUUUGAAUUUAUAUUUGGGCUUAUAUAUGCGUAUAUAGAUUGAUUUAAUUUUUUCUUGAAGGGUGCAAACGGGGUUGACAACUCCUACUUUGAUUGAGUAGUUGGUUGAUCUCUGUACGAACAAGUUAGACACUAUUACUUUAGUUCUGUUUUUUUUUUUUUGUCAUUUAUUGAUUUUUAUCGAUCUGAGUAGUUGGAUCGAUUGAGAAAUCCUUGUUCUGUUUUGAAUUGCAUUUGAGGCCUUUAUAAUUAAACACGCCUAAGCUUUUGAUGUCUGAUACAUAUACAUAUAUAGUUGAGUUUGCUGCAUCUAUCUAGAUUGUAUUUUUUUAGCUUUUAGAACAAAUCUCUCAAAUCUGCUUGUAUCGAUCCAAAAAUAAAAAUUGAAUCAGCAAGAAUCACGGUCAGGGCCUAAUCAAAUUGGAUUGUAUUCACUUUCUGUGUUUUGGACUGUUUGAUCUUAUUUUCAUUUCCACGGAUUUGUUUUAGGUGCUAACUUUUAUCCAGUAAUGACUGUUACGAAACUAGUACAGAUUUAGAUGGGUUUACAGACAUGCUAAUGAGCUAAUCCUACCAUGAUGUAUUUAUUUUAUUUUUUCUAUUUGCUGGAUUCUUCUUGCUUUGUUUUGAACUAAAUAUAUAAAAGUAAAAAGUUCACCAGUCAAUGGCUUUGUUUUGUUUUGUUGUUGUUCUCCAAAUGUGUUGCUUGUAGCUUCAUAAACAUCAUGAUCAAUACAUAAUUAUCGAUGCAAUAUUGAUAAGAGCACAAAGUGCUACGUUUAUAAUAUAUUUCCGACCCUAUUUAGCUAUAUAAUUUCUUUAACAAUAUUCAUAUUAACUAAGUUUGUGCUUUUAGGUCAUAAAUAAAGUCGAAGAGCUUAAAAGAGACAAAAGAUGAGACAUCUUGAAGGAAAAGGAAUCCAUGUCGUAUAAGGAAAGAAAUCAGAAAAUCUGCCAUAAAUUGUCAGUUAAAUUCGACAGAAGAUUGUGAUCAACUUAAGACGAUCCAGGAGAUGUGCCAUAUAUCAAUGAAAAUCUACAAGAGUCUACUUUCCAUAACUUUUUACGGAUCGUCAAUACCUAUUUUGGAGAAGAAGUUAUGACCGUUUGAGUGGUCAAAUGUCAGUUUGCCCGAAUUUCUGAUUUGGACCAAACUUCUAUUUCGAGGCCCAAACCACAUUGGUAAGCCCAUGGAUGAGUUUUGAGGGUUUAAUAACCCUAAUCACAGCUGAAAAGAGGGAGGACUUGAAGAUUAGAGGAGGCGAGCGAUCUCACAUCAUCAGAACCUCCAUAGUUGCGGACUCGCACAAGGAAGCCGCCAAGCCAUCAUUGAUCUCUCAAUCAUCCACGGUUUACCUUUCCUUUGUCAUCUUUUAUUCUCCUUGUGUGAUUUUGUAGCCAUGUGUGGCAGAUUUCUCUUAGUUAGGGGCAAAAUUUGAAGCCCCAAGAAUGUUUUAGAUAUUGUUUUGAAUCUUGAUUUCGAAUUAUUAAGUCUUUCAAAUUGUUUAUUUGGUUUUGUUUUAUGGAGAACUUUUGCUUGUUUAUGUUCAUGUAUGCGCAACAUAGAACAUUAUAAACUUGUGAGUGGGGCUAGAAUUAGGUUGUUUAAUCUCUUAAACGGUUAAUACGGCUUAAUUUAAGGUAGUAAAACCUAUAGGACAAUAGGUGAAACCAAAUAGAGAGACUUGCAUGCUAGGUAUGUGUUCCAUACUAAUUUUGCAUUCUUGUUCAAUUAAAUUUCUAUUGAUCUUAAUGCUUAGAAUAAUUUGUUGAUAGGAUAGCGUCUAUACUUUGAUCGAUUAUUCUAAAGGCUAAGUAACGGUGCGUUCAUCUUACUUGAGUAAUCCAGGAAAAUAAUAAAGACUUACGCAGUGCGUUCACGGUUUGUUCUUGAUUGAUACCGAUUUGUGACUUAAUGAUUAAAGUUUUGGUUGUUAACAUGUCUUGAAACAUACUUGGUGGUGGUCUCAUUCAUCUGAUCUAUUCUGCUUUAUUUGUUUCUUUGUUUUCUCUUGUUUAUAAUCACAAAACUCAUAUCUCUAGUAUUAUCAUCUUUUGUUUUCUCUCGUUUUGUAAUUAAUGUAAAUUGUAAAAGUACCCUUAAUCCCCGGUUUUUGUAACGAUACCCUUAUUUGCUAUUGUGAGGGUUCUUUUUGAUUGAAAGGUAACUAGGCCAAAAUUAACUCAGAGAUUUGGAUUACUGAGUUAAUCUUGUGCAUGAUUCAAAGACGAAAGAAGCUUGUAGCAUGAGCCGGCGUGGGAGCUAAAGGCACACUGCAGUGAUGAGAAUUAGACUGAGUUUUAGGGUUAGAUUUAUGGGAAGGAUCUGGGUUUCAAGGAUGGGGAUCGAAAGAUGGCUGAAAAAGCGGUUUUGGCUUGAAGGUUUGAAGGCAUGAAAGGUUGAGUGUUUUAGGGAUUUUUCUGGGUUGGUUGCUUCAUCCUUUUGCAGCUCUCAUACCUCUCUUCUUAUAGAGUUCAAUUGGUGGGUUUUGCGAUGGGUCGCGAUGCGUAAUCCAUUGUGUGUUGCGUAAAAAUUGUACACAGUGAGCGAAAAUGUCACCAAACAUAAUUUCACUCGUAUUCAUUUUGUGAAUAGAGUUUUAAUUAUUUCGGGUUCGACCCAUUCAAGACAGAAUGUGUCUCUUAAUUAUAUUCCCUCAAGGUAGGGAAACACCUUUUGAUUCCAUUUAUAAAGAAACCAAAAAUGUGGAUGAAAUUUGUUUUUGUAGCUGCACCCGAAUAUUUGAAUGGGUUGCCUACGUACCCUUGGAGAGGGAUCAAGCCACUCGUAGUUCAAGAGUUCCAACAAGUGAAUGACUCUGGAGGGCUUUGAUUUUGGAAUGAGAGUAGUGUAAUGUGUUUGGAUUUGUAUCUGAAGGCAUUUGAGCUUUGGAGCGAGACUUUAGCUUUAGGUGAUCCGGGAAUUUAUUUGGAGUGAUGGUUGCAUCUAGAUUUAAAUCCAGACUACCUACAUACCCUGUGAAGGGAUCAAACCUAUGUAAUUCAAAGAUUUGGGAGUGAAUUUGAUUUUUUUCUGGUGUUUUAGGAAUUUGACUGGAGUUAUUUGGACUGGCCGAAUUUGAUUGGUGGUGUCAGAGAUUCUGUUUGGAAUGGUGGUUGCAUCUAAUGGGUCGCUAGAUUGCCUACGUACCAUUUGUGGGAUCAAACCGACCGUAGUUCAUUAGUUUGGGUUUGCGGUUACCAGCUUUUUGAGUUUGACAGAUAUAUUUUUGAAUCUAUCAACUGUAUUCCUUGUGGACACCCAAUUUUACAGAGUGUCUGCUGAUUUGAUUUAGGCACCCGUCGUGCUAAGCUUUGCAGUUGGGCCUUGAGACUUGAAGAGGGCUUUAACACUGCUGCAUUUUGAGGCGGUCUACGGGUAAUUUGGUGGAGCCUGAUCAUUUAAUUUACGACCCGAGAUAUAAGAUGGGCUUGGUUCCAAUUGUUGUUAAGGAGGCCCAAUAGUCCGAGUGCGAGGGAGCCUGACUUAUGAGUUUUAGUUUAAUUCAUACGUUAGGCACCAUUCUUCUGUGAAAGAGGAAGACCCGUACACAUGCACCAUAGAGUUUGAGUGCCAUGUAUAGUUUCCAUGAUUUGCAUGAUACUUGAAUCGAUGGAGUAGGGUACAAGAAAAUAGAUACACCCGUGUGUAGAUUUUGAUGUAGCUCCACGUAUAUAAUUAACAAGUAGUUUGAGAGGGGUAUGGAGUUUACCCCUCAACAUGAUGUUUGCCGAUCUCUCCUUGUACACGAGGUGAUCUUGUUUUCCUCCUCCAUUUUGUGCUUUAGUUUUUCCCAGCAAAGAGUUGACUGUAUUACAGAUAGACGUCCACCACAGGCAGGCUUGUUUAUGUGCAAAUCAUGCAAGUAGAUCCACCAUCUCGGCUGUGAACGAGGGUUUGUACAGACUUUGUGUUUUUUUACAAAAGCCGUUGAUCAUUUGCUUGACGUCGAUGAAGAGGUAACCUAUUGGAAAGCAAACCGGACGACGAGCUACACUUCCGCCCCCUAGUACGCUGGACGCACCGCGUAUAGGUAUCGGAAGCGAGCUAGAGAGCACAUGUGAGGCAGACCAGAAGAUGAGCUACACUACCACCCCCUAAUACGCUGGACGCACCGCGUAUAGGUAUCGGUAGCAAGCUAGAGAGUGAACCGGAGGACGUUGCGAGUAAGCCAGAAGACGAGCUACACUUCCGCCCCCUAAUCUGGACGCACCGCGAAUAGGUAUCGGUAGCGAGCCAGAGUGCGCAAGCAGCUAAGUUGACCCUUCUUUAUUGUUGUAGUUGUGUAUGAGGGCUUAGUAGUGACUUUCUGUCUUUGCCCAAAAGUCGUCAUUGAUUAUUGGCAUAGAUGAUUGAAGAGGAGAGAAUAGCGGCGUCAUUGCUACAUAAAAGAAGCAUCUCUUUUCUGCACCAUAAAAGAGAAGCAUCUCUUUUCUGCACCAUAAAAGAGAAGAUCAGUAAUUUCAGGUGAUAACCAAGAUCAUAUACCUGUGAUCUUUUUGAAGCUUCUUCUGCUAACGCAAUGUCGCCAGGCCAGUUUAAGUGAAGCUUGAUUGUUGUAGAGCUUCAGUUGUUGACUGCCGUUGUAGAGGCUCGGUGUUGAGUACCCUGCCCUUUCUCUUUCUCUCUCUUUCCUUUCACCAUCUCUACUCGUCUCUCCUAUUUUCUUUUUGCGUCUUCUGAUGUCGCUCUGUUUCUCCGUCCUUUUUCGCCUCACAGUAAACCUCCUUUUAUAGAGGCUUAACGAUCAGGUGGGAUGAUGAUGAUAUCUCAAAAUUUGAAUUUCAAAUAUCAAACAGAUUGCAUAUACAUCCCCAUGUGAAGAAAGAAACUUGCUGAAAGUAUGUUUGGACGUGGCUGAUUUUUGUGUUGCCACCAAACUCAUUUUGCAUUCUUGAAUUUGAAAGAGAUGGAGGUAAUCUCGUUCGGUGGAUAAGCCAGCUAGUAUUUGAAUGUUUAGAUGGAGUACUUUGUAUAUUUUUAAAAAGAAACUCACUGAGAGUUCAACUCUUUGAUUAUGAUCAAAGGUUGACUACUUCAAGUUAAAUUCUUCUCCUUACGUGAGCUAGGUCCUCACCCGGCCCAUUAAUCGAUCAUAUAAUUUUGAUACCGUGAAUUUUUUUCAACACCGUGUAAAAUGAUUGUUUUUCUCAAGCACAUGAUCUUAGCCUCAAAACCUGGCAGAGAAAGGCUGACCUUGAGAGAUGGGAGAGAUGACUCACUGCAGAGGCGCUACGAGGGCGGCUGCAGAGACAGAAAUCUUGAAACGAGGCAGACCAAGUAACUUGAAUCCCACGAUUUCGUCAUCCAAGGAUGAAAGAGCUGCCUUGGAACCAGUCACUGACCUUCUUCUUCCUCAGAUUGGGAGUGAAUGAUACUUUUCUGUUGUGCAAAGCUUAUCGUCGUACUGCUACGGGGAAAAAAUAAAGUGGUAUCUGGUUCAACCAUGGGAAUGCAGAAAAGGAUUGAGUUUUUCCUAAAAGAAGAGAGUUUGGGCUUUUCUAAAAGAAAAAGGGUGUUGGGCUUUGGAUUCAAAGAUAUUUUAGGUUUAAAAGAUGAGCAGUCCAAUUCUCACGUUCUUCACCGAUUCGUCGCCGACUUAAGUCUUCGGGCUUGAGUUUCGGGUCCAAGACCGAAAUUUCUUAACAAUAUUAAAUCGGCGGACGAGCGUUAUGUGCCUCCGUAACCAUCCACACCAUACCCACUUCUACAAGCCCCAAUGAUGCGUGUAUGCAGCUUGGACCCAGAUGAAUGCAUGGGUAUGUUCGCUUGGAUUAAAUCAAGGAUUUAACCUAAAAUUGUAUGAAAUUAUCGCGUGACAAAGUAUUAAUUGAUCGCAUAAUUUUUUGGGUAUCAACAGCUAUAUACUACAAUUGACAUAAAAAAGAUUUUAAUUAAAACGCCCGGUUUCGGUCUCUAUCAAAUGUUCUCUUGCACUCUCCGUUUCUUUUCUCUUCAUAUCAAGUGCAUCUUGUUAACCAUUGAUUUCAAUAUUCUUUGGCUACUGUUAUUCUUACUUUAAUCACUUGUGUGUGUAUACACAAUAUAAUAAAAAUACACACACUUUUGAGUAAUAAGUAAUAAGUGUACAUUUGGUGUAUUAUAUUCAUUGAUAGUAUCUGCACUAGGAUAAGUCUAUCAUUUGUUAGUAUGUCCACUAGUAUAAGUUUGUUCUUUUGUGGCAAAGAUGGUAAGGAAAAAGAUCACUAAUGACAACACUACUUGGUGGUGGAUUUUCAAGUCUCUAACGUCUCAUUCAUCUGAUCUUUUCUGCUUUAUUUUGUUUCUUUGUUUUCUCUUAUUUAUAAUCACAAAACUCAUAUCUCUAGCACGUACUAUCAUCUUUUGUUUUCUCUUGUUUUAUAAUUAACGUAAAUUGUAAAGGUACUCUCAAUCCCCGAUUUUUGUAAUGAUACCCUUAUUUUAUUUGCAAUAUACUACAAUUGACACAAAAGAGUUUUUAAUUGAAACGCCCGGUUUCGGUCACUAUCAAAUGUUCUCUUGCACUUUGUUUCUUUUCUCUUCAUAUCAAAUGCAUCUUGUUAACCAUUGAUUUCAAUAUUCUUUGGCUACUGUUAUUCUUACUUUAAUCACUUGUGUGUGUGUAUACACAAUAUAAUAAAAAUACACACACUUUAAUUACUAUAUCUUCAUUGAUAGUAUAUGCACUAGGAUAAGUCUGUCAUUUGUUAGUUAUAAGUCUGUUCUUUUUUGGCAAAGAUGGGAAGGAAAAAGAUCACUAAUGACAACACUAUUGAGAUGACCUACCUUGAAAAUGGGCAAGGUGGAUCCAAAACUACUACUUGGAAUCCUCAAAGUGUAGCAAUUUUUUGUGACUUGUGUAUCAAAGAGGUGGGAAAAGGACAAUGUCCCGGCACACACUUUAGCAAAGAAGGAUGGUCAAGUUUGGUUGCAAACUUUCAUGUGGAGACUGGAAACAAUUAUAACAAAUCACAAUUGAAGAAUAAGUGGGAUUUGCUGAAAAAAAAAAUGGAAGAUAUGGAAAGAUCUAAUUGGGAAGGACAUUGGCCUAGGUUGGAAUCCUACUAAGAACACUGUUGAUGCAUCUGAGGAAUGGUGGAAAAAUAAAAUACCAGGUAUAUUAUGAUACAUUCCAUUACUUUAUAUUUACUUUAGUAUUAUGUUUAUGUACUGACAGUUACAAUUUCUAUAAAAUGUAGAUAAAUCCUCAAUAUGCAAAAUUGAGGGUUAGAGGCAUUAAUCCUGAAAUGGAGGCAAAGUUAGAUAUGAUGUUCAAUGGUGAUGUAGUUACUGGAAAAUAUGCAUGGACACCUUCAUCUGGUCUACCACCCCCUCAAAAUAGGAGUGUUCAUGAUGAUGUUAUUCCACUAGAAGCUAGUGGUGAUUCAAAGAAGUCCAAUCCUAAUGAAAUUGCAGAGGUAACUCAAUUUUAUAAAGAGAUGGGUAAAAAGAGAACAAACAAGCAGCUUGACACACAAGCAUUGAAAGGGAAAAAAAAUAGGAGGUGCUGCAAAAUUUACCCUACAAAUUAAUCGUCUUGUUGAGACAAGGGGUUCUGCAUCAUCAACGUUGAUUAAUGGUUCACAAUGAUGCAGCGUGUUUGAAGUGAUGAAGGUAGUUGAAGGUUUGUGAGGAAUGGAAAUUGGUAGUCCACUGUGGUGGUGUGAAACUGAGCUAUUUUGCUCACAAGAAAAUAGAGAAAUGUUUUCUGUGAUGAAAGACCCUUAGAUGAAGCUUCAAUUUAUUCUUCGUAAUCAAGAAAGGGAACACAAUAAGUAGAUAUACGUACCCUGAUGGAUGUUACACAGUUACCAAUUAUGUCAUGCAUCAUUCUAAAUGUUUUUAUAUACUUAAGGAGAAGGUGCAAGCCGGAAAAAGGAAUGUACAAGAGCGGUUCCAACAUUCUGGCGAGACUGCUAGCAGAUAUUUUAGUGAAUUAAUUGCUAGAUGUGAUUUGUGUUAUGGCAACAGAACUCAUAAAACCUCUUGAUCCUGAGUUCAACAACAGAUGAGAAGGAAAAUAAACUGCAAAAAGUUUCUACAUACAACAACAGAGCAGCACACUGAGUCAUUGACAGUGAUGCUCACAAAUCUGUUAAAUACAUGCCAUAACAUCAUAGUGCUUCAUUGGUCAUGAUUCUCACACUUCAGACUCAACCAGUAUGCAUUAUGUUGUCUACGAAUGCAUGGGAUCGGAGAACAUCUUAGAAACAAGCUCAUCAUCAAGCUAGUGAUGAUGCAAGGAAGCAACGUCUGACAAAUAUCAAGAUCUGAGAAGACAAAUUGUUAAGGGAUCUGCGACAAAGUGAUCAUUUCUGAAACCAACCAGUUCAUAUAUCAGAUUCAUAUAUCGGAUCUCUAGCAUGUAGAAAAUGGAUCUAUAUAUCUGCAACUGUAAUAGUAGUGUAGUAGUCUUGGCUUAGCUUGGAUCCAAGUUCGUACGUGCUAGCUUGCAUGAACAUGGCAGAUAUUGUUGAAGCGUUUUCAUAAAUGAUUGCUGGUGUCAAUUACCAGAUAGUUGGGUACGAACUGCAUUCGAUCGUAUAAGUUCUGCAACAUGGAACUAUUAUCGAGAGAAUCUACUAUCGUUUGUCCACAUACAUGUUUCGAGUUGUCUAUGAUUUACAGUUUAGAUCUAUGUAUAUUGUCGACACGAGAUAGGAAAGUAGUAGAUUAUGGUGGUAGGAGAUUCGCAAUUGCUUAUUCAUGCUCUGACUGGUCGCUCCUCUACUCCCUGGCAUAUCAAAAGCAUUAUUCAGGAUAUCUGGGGUCUUGCAGGGCGAUUUCGUUCGAUCUCGAUUCAUCAUGUGUGGCGCGAGGCCAACAUUUUAGCAGAUAGUUUAGCCUUUUUAGGUCAUAAAAUGAAUAACCAGUCUGUUUGGUUGAACUCUCUUCCUUUGUACUUGUCUCCCCCGCCUUUCAACUUGAUCUUUCUGAGGGUGGUGUAGCUCAAGGGCUUUUGUUGUAUCAAAAAAAAAAAAAAACUCUAGAAUUACUGAUGAACUUCAAGAAAGUCUUGGACAGUUACAGUUGUGCUACAUUAGUAGACGAUGAUGAAAUUUUAUUUUUGUUUUUAAGGUUUCUCUUUUUUAUCCUAUUUUUGUGGACUACGCUGAAUAGUAAGUCUCCCUAGUUAUUGUUUUGGGCGUUUUUUGGCUCCUCUUUUGAGUUUAUCCCCUUUGAAACCAUUAAUGAAGUUAUUUCAUUAAUUCGCAAAAAUAUGAAAUGAAACCAAAAUUGGAGCGAAUCGAAAUUGGCAACAAAAGCAAAGUGCCAAAGAAUUGAAGAACAUAACAACACAACUAAAGCUAUAUAGAAUACAAUCCGUUAUUCAAAAAAUCCAAGCAUCAAACCCAAUUAGCUAGCAACUACAAAAUAGCACAAACAACAAGCAAAGUAUCUACCUUUGCAAUUCAACCAAUGCUCAAUCAUGCUCCCAAAAAACCCCAAACUGGCAAAUAGACAGAGCACUAAAGAGAGUCUAAAUGCACUAGAAAAUAUGGGUACGUUAAGGCGGCAAUGGAAGGGUAUAAUCAGCAAUUUUCUCCCAAUAUUUGAGCGUUGUAUCUUUGUACUUGAUUUUGUACAACGCGAGUUUAGCUAUGGUGAAACUCAAGCUGGCAAUGCUUUCAUCCAAAAUGCUAACUUUUUCUACAGCUUUUCUCUUCUCUUCUUCUGUUAGAUUGCCAUAAAGGAGACUCAAAUAUGGUCUACCAUCUGCAGAGGAGGGUGGACAAAUCAAAUAUCAUACAAUAGAACAAUUAGCACAACAUACAGCUCUGGUCCAUUUCAAAACAAAUGUAUCAACUCUAUAAAAAAUAAUUUUUAAAACAGUUUGAUGUAUAAAGAAGAGGAACUUACUCGCGUGGAAUCCAAAAUGUCCAUUGGAUAUGCCAGUUGUGUAAUCUAGCUGCAAAUAGAAAAAAGUUCAAUGAUCUAAUAUUACUCACCGUGAUUUAAGACAAAUGAGAGUAAUUGAAUACGCGGCUCUGUUACUACCUAGAUAUAAAAUUAUAGGUGCCAUAAACAAAAAGCUGAAAGAAAUCUUUAAAUCAAAUUCAUUGUUUCAAAUUAGUCAAUCAUACAUACAUCUAUCUUAAACAACACUUGAAAUCUUAUAUGAAGAAAAGACAAAACAUCAAAAUCAUAACAAGAAAAACUAAACACCUGACUGUAUGCUUCUGGUGAUGUAUCAAUGAGUAGAGAAACACAUUGGUGAUAAAAAUUUGUGGUAACCACCAGAUUAACUUUUGCUUGGUAGGCAUGGAAAUUUUUAGAACAGAGAGAUCUAAAUUUGUCAAGCACAUCUUCAUCCGUCAUACGAAUAGAUCCUACAACAGGAAUAUGUGGCUCGAUCUCUGGCCCACCAAACUCGGUUUUGAGACCUUCCAUCACCUUCUUGAUCCUGAGAGACACUUCAGCCGUUGGGAUUGCCCAUAUUGAAUAUGAGUUCCAUUCCAAAUCCAUUAUUGAAGGACUGGAUAAAGAGUCUGUCAGUGGAGAGAAGUUUGCCUAUAAAAUCAGCACAAAACAUCAAGAGUAUGCAUGUAAGGUAUUUCCGAACUAAAAAUACAAUUUGAACACACUUACUGACAAACUAAUUCAAGCAUUCGGAUAGAAAGAAGAAAAGAAAAUUAGCAAACUGUACCACACUGAAAUUGUCUCUUCUCUCGAGCUUGUGGUCUCCCAAGACUGAAGCUAUACUGUUCACAUAAACAACAGCUACAAUAUCAUCAGAAGUCGAACAAGGCGUGUUAUGAAAGAGAGUAUCUUUAAGCCUUUCGCUACCAAGGUCGUAGGAGAGUACAAGUCCCAUAAAGUUAAGUCCCGUAAAGUCAUUCAGAAAAAUCUCAUUGCUAUUAAGCAAUGCGAAUGGCUUCGGAGUGGGUUCAAGAGUUAUGUGUUUCUUCCAAGCACCCUUCGGACCACCAAGUUCAUCCAGAACCCAUAUUUCAAAAGAAUAUUCACGUUCAGGUUUAUAAUCAUCAACCAAUACAAAAAGGGCAAGGGAUUCGUUCCACACUCGAAGAGCCACAUUAGGUCGAUCAAAACUGUCAGGUAACAUGAUAUUAUGAAAUACCUCAUUUUGAAUAUCCAAUAAAAUGAUGACCUGCCUAAUGAGGUCCUCGUAUGCAUCCAACACAUUCAGUUCUUUGUGUUGCUCAUGUCCAAGCCAAUAAAGCAUUUGCUUGAAUUGGAUCUGGAAACUUUCAAGCCUAAAGACAGUGGUUUCUGUUUCUAAAGCAUUGGUGUUGAUCUUUGUCCAAGAAUCAGUACUCAAAGAGUAUAUUGCUGCCUUAGCACGAUUAUGAAUAUCAUAUCCCUCAUCCCUCCAAUUUGAAGCAUAACUUAGUCCAAUGUUAACAACUUUGUAUUCGUUCAAUUUAGCAUCAUAUCCAAAACCCUGAACAUCCGUGGAGUGCGACACAUCGUCACCCCAAAUAACAUCUGGAGGGUCGUCACCCCACGUACUAACUGGAAGGUAUGGAAAGGGGGGAAGAAGCUUAAAUUCUUGAAUUNNNNNNNNNNNNNNNNNNNNGAAAAGAUUUAACUAGAAGUAGACAGAUUAUUCCAUUGCAAUGGCCUACCAUAUGAACUGCUUCCCCUUUAGUCUUUAGACUCAUACAAAGAGGAAUCUUGAUGUCCUCGACACUAGAAACAAUAAUUCUGUCCUCACCAUUGUCAAUACUGUCGUUAUUGCAUAAAUUAAGCAACGAAAAUACUAGCUCAUCUUCUUUUUUAUUUUCUUCUUCUUCUUCUUCAGUGUUAUUAGUCGUGUCCUUGGAGAUUAAACGUUUCAUGACGAGCAGAUGCUUUGAAUUGUAAUUGUAACUGGAGAGGUGCUUAGCUACGAACCUGGGAUUGUUGAUCAGUGAAUACCACCUUUUAGAAGCGCAUUUGAAUCGCAUCAGAGCCUUGGGAGGCAGAGUUGACAUGAUUUUCUCCACUAGAUUUUCAUCAACCUCUAUCAUUUCUGCCACGUUCAACCUCUUCAAUUAAAAGUUAUAAAAGAGCAAAUUCAUUACAAUAGAUCACAACGAUGAUACUAGUUAUAAAAACAAUGGUGCUUAGAGAAUUAUUAAACGAAAUCGGCUCUGACUAUAGAGAAUUAUGUACCUAAGUCCUUAACCUGCGAACUAGAACAAUAGAUGGGGAAAGAACUCAAAGAAGGGAUGAUGAUUCUGAGGUGAGUCUUCUGGAGAUCGAGACGAUAUAAGGAUUAUAAGCGAUGGAGAUUUGAGACUGAGAGUCACUGAGACUUGAAACAGCUUCUGAGUUCUGAUGGUGUUGUUUUGCUAUAUAUUUAUUUCAAUUAGGCUUUUUAUGGUUAGUUUUUCCUUUUGCAAAUAACAACAAAAAUAAAUUAAUGCCAAUGAAUAUAUGAGCUGGAUGAUUAUAAUUACACUAUGUAGGUUAAUUCUUAUAUCCCAAAAGUCAGCUGAGAAGGAAAAUAAACUGCAAAAAAUUUCUACAUACAACAACAGAGCAGCACACUGAGUCAUUGACAGUGAUGCUCACAAAUCUAUUAAAUACAUGCCAUAACAUCAUGGUGAUUCAUAGGUCAUGAUUCUCACACUUCAGACUCAACUAGUAUGCAUUCUGUUGUCUACGAAUGCAUGGGAUCGGAGAACAUCUUAGAUUUUAGCUCAUCAUCAAGCUAGUGAUGAUGCAAGGAAGCAACGUCUGAGAAUAUCAAGAUCUGGGGAGACAAAUUGUUAAGGGAUCUGCGACAAAGUGAUCAUUUCUGAAACCAACCAGUUCAUAUGUCAGAACCCACCCCGAAUUUCACCAUGAAACCCGAAGUAUAUCCUGCGGGGACCACCUCUAAGGAAAAUUUAUCCAAAAUUCGGCAUAACCUCUCUUGAAAAUGGAUAACUCUUCCUAUAAAUACCUGCAAACACUUCAAAAGAAUCCAUCUAUAACCCUCUACUCUUAGAGCCUUCGUGCUCCCCAAAUCAUAACAUCUCCCAAUUUAUUUACUAACUUUAAUAAGCAUAAUCCCACAACCGACAAUCACGGUUCAGAACAACUCUAAUUGAGAUGAAAGAAAUUAGAAACAUAGAAAUGAGCAUAAGCUAUACUAUUGAUUAUGCCUCUUCUCCAUGUACGCUCGACCUCAACUAUGCUAACCUGCAAACUGGGCAUUUUUAAAACGAAUGGCCCAGGGGAAAACAUUUGCAAACGUUACAGUGAGUGAACAAAGAUAAAUUUAAUGAAAAUAUUUAUGGUUUCCCAAUUUAAAUUUUCAUAGAAAAUAUGUUGCAUGCGACAGCUCAAAAGCUCUCAACUCAUCAAUUGGCAAUUACAUGACUAGCUCCGGCUAGUCUCCAAAUUUAAUAAAAUGAAGCCUCUCAGGUUAAAAUAAUAUAUAUAUAUAUAUAUAUAUAUAUAAGUAUGUAUUUACACUCGUUAUACUCCUUGUACGAAUUCUAUGAAGGAAUAAGAAAAAUAGAAAUUCAUACAAGGCUACUACGCUUACGUCUAACGCUCACGUCACACCAUAAUGGAAUUUUACCUCAUUAUAGCGGAAAAGCACGUAUAACUAGCUAGCAUUUAUUUAUAUACAUAUUAUCCUCAUAAUCAUCCAUAUACAUAUCCACCGAAAAUCUCAUUUUCGGUAACUCUCCAAAAAUAAUAAAAAUUGACAAUUACAAAAGAAGCAAUAAAUAUAUGACUCCACCGAAAAUCUCAUUUUCGGUAACUUUCCAAAUAGCGAAGUUAACAAAUAAAAUAAGAGUAUUUACUUCCAAAAAUAAAUUCGCGAAAAUAAACAAUUCCACAAAUUGAUAUUCAAUAAAAUCAUUCAUUUAAUAUGAAAUCACCGCAUCCUUAUAAUUUAAAACGAACGUCCACUCACAACUUUAGGCAUACACCUGACGAAAUCCAAAUUGCCACUCAAGAGAGGUUUUCCCGAAUCCUAGCACAAUAACCAUGCUUAGGACCAAACUUCAAUUUCAGAAAAAAAAAUAAUACUUAAAUAUAUAACCCAAAACUCUUCCGCCUAACCCACUACCCUUUCUAAGAUUAAGCUUAUCGGAUUCACGCCAAACCCCAACCACAGCCUCUUUCAUUUAUUUCAACAUUCUAAAACAAUAAUAAGGGAAAUCCAACGGUCUGAUUCUACCCCAUUAACCGCCAAAUUCAUCAAUCUUUGAAAAAUUCCAAACCUAAUCAAAACUCCUUCAAAAAUUCCAAAUUUUACAACAUUAGACUCCCCUUAAUAUAACAAAUUUAAAUCCAUGAAAAUCCCCCUAACACCGCCGCCGCCGCCGUCUGAUCCGCCGGCAGCAGCGGCGGACUCCGGCGACCUCCAAUGCCUAUCAAAUUUUAGCAGUAACUUCCUCUCAACCCACUCUACAACUUUCCUAACGAGCACAAACACCAAUUUCAAGCCUAACUAGGUCAAUCGAACAAAAACAUUUCAAGAACCCUAGAACUUCCACUCACCGAUUCUCCUCACCUGAAACAAACUGGAUUGAGUCCUUUUAGGGCAAGGCUACUGGGUUGAAGACCUUCAAAACCAAAUAAGACUUGCCCGGAUUGGUGGCCAAAGGAGGAAGUUCCGGCGACGGAACACCAAGGAAGACCGGAGCUCUCGAGCACGAUAUCUCUCUCACGGCGGCGCUAGAGAGGCUGCCACCGGUCUAGGAAGGAAAAGGAGAUGAUGGCCGACCAUUUGGGACCAGUGCGGCGGUCUACGGUGGCCGGACGGCGGCGGACGGGCUCGGGAAGUUUUCAGCAGAGAGAGGGCUCGGGAGGAAAGAGAGAGAGAAGAGAGAAGAAAAGAGUUGGGCACUUGGGCUUGGGCUUUCCCAACCGGUUUCUACCCAAACCAAAUAUAAACCCAACUCCAAAAUAACACCACAAAAUAAUACCCUACUAAAAAUUACCUUUUUACUAGCUAAAAUUUACCAUUUUUACUGUCAUCAAAUAUUUCUUUUACGAAUCAUUCAUCCGAAAUAAUCGCCCCUCAAAACCCCUCUAGGGACCUUUGAAACUAUAAACUCAUUUACGAAGACGGUAAAAUUCUUAUUAAUACCAAGCUAGUAAAUAAGGUAAGAAUUUAAAAGUCGGGAUGUGACAUCAUAUAUCGGAUCUCUAGCAUGUAGAAAAUGGAUAUAUAUAUAUAUAAACAGUCUGUCUCUACCACGGACGUCUGCACCGUUUUACAGUGCGGAUUUUCGUCCGUUCGCCACCGUACGGCGCCGCGCGAGGGCACGCCUCCACCCCAACGGACUCUAGCAGCUUCCCGGACCACUUUCCAUCCCUGGCGAGUCCGCCGAAAUCCAGUUUUCCGGCCAGAUCACCAAAAACUUCAAACAAAGUCAAUCUGGCUGGAAAACUGGAAUUCGGCAGACUCACCGGGGACGGAAAGUGGUCGGGGAAGCUGCUGGAGUCGGCUGGGGUGGAGGCGCGCCCUCGCCGGCGCUGUACGGUGGCGAACGGACAAAAAUCCGCACCGUAAAACGGUGCGGACGUCCGCACCUGAGAAAAGUUCUAUAUAUAUAUAUCUGCAACUAUAAUAAUAGUGCAGUAGUCUUGGCUUAGCUUGGAUCCAAGUUCGUAUGUACAUACUAGCUUGCAUGAACAUGGCAGAUGUUGUUGAAGCGUUUUCAUAAAUGAUUGCUGGUGUCAAUUACUAGAUAGUUGGGUACGAACUGCAUUCGAUCGUAUAAGUUCUGCAACAUGGAACUAUUAUCGGGAGAAUCUACUAUCGUUUGUCCACAUACAUGUUUUGAGUUGUCUAUGAUUUACAGUUUAGAUCUAUGUAUAUUGUCGACACAGGAUAGGAAAGUAGUAGAUUAUGGUGGUAGGAGAUUCUCAAUUGCUUAUUCAUGCUCUGACUGGUCGCACCUCUACUCCUUGGCGUAUCAAAAGCAUUAAUGUUCAGGAUAUCUGGGUUCUUGCAUGGCGAUUUCGUUCGAUCUUCAUUCAUCAUGUGUGGCCAACUUUUUAGCAGAUAGUUUAGCCUUUCUAGUUCAUAAAAUGAACCAGUCUAUUUGGUUGAACUCUCUUCCUUUGUUCUUGUCUCCCGCCUUUCAACUUGAUCUUUCCGAGGGUGGUGUAGCUCGAGGGCUUUUGUUGUAACAUUUUCUUUUUAUAUAAAAAAAAUAAAAAUAAAAACUCUAGAAUUACUGAUGAACUUCAAGAAAGUCUUGGACAGUUACGUUUGUGUUACAUUAGUAGAAGAUGAUGAAAUUUUAUUUUUAUUUUUAAGGUUUCUCUUUUUUAUCCUAUCCUUGUGGACUAGGCUGAAUAGUAAGUCUCCAUAUUUGCCGUUCAUACAAACUAUUUGCAUAUGUGAUGAACUAUAUGUAAUGUACUAGUCAAAUGCAAAACUUCACGCCAAGCAAUUCACCCCAAGACUCAACAAUUCAAUGAUUCAUACCAAUGGAAGAGUUAGAAAUACUUAGGGCUGCCAAAGAAGGAAGGAGGCUUGGGGUUCAAAAAUCUUUGUGACUUCAACACUGCUCUGUUAGCCAAACAAGUGUGGAGGCUUCACACUGAACCCAAUUCUUUUUGGGCAAAGAUGAUUAAAGGGAUCUAUACUAUCCACACACGGAUGUUCUUCAGGCAGGAAAAGGGUCUAGGGCAUCGUGGGCAUGGAGCAGUUUAUUGGAAGGUAAAGCUCUAAUUGAAGAAUGUGCAAGAUGGUUAGUAGGCAAUGGGAACUCCAUUGACAUAUGGAGGGAUAAAUGGAUUUUAAAAUCUGAAAUGGACUUCAUUCACCCAACUAUGCUUAUCCCUCAGUCUGCUCCGACAAAAGUGUCUGAUUUAAUUGACUAGGACUCUUAUACAUGGGAUUUGCAGCCCAUUGUUGGACUAGUUCCUGAGCGUGAUAUGGAAGAUAUAAGAAAGCAGCUGUUCAGCCACAUUGAGGUUGAGGAUAGAUUAAUCUGGCCUCAAACAAAAGGUGGCUCUUACACGGUCAAAUCCGGGUAUAACCUCUUCCAUUCUCUAAAUCUAAAACCCAUUAGACACUUGAGCCAUUCCUCUCAUAGAGUACACCGAAGUGUUUGGUCUGCUAUCUGAUCUAUCCAAACACUACCCAAAAUAAAGCACUUUUUGUGGCAAGUUGUGAACAAUGCCAUACCCACCUAUCAGAAUCUCUUUCACAAGAAAAUUAUUGCUUCACCUAUCUACCAAAGUUGCGAGCUAGCCCCUGAAACAAUUGAAUACAUUCUACUUCUAUGCCUUACUGCUAUAUGCACAUGGUUCUCUUGUUCUCUCAAUUACAGGAUUAAUGUUCAAGAAAUCACAUCAAUUGAUUGAUGGAUUGAAAAGAUCAUAAAGCUUGCAGUCCUUAGCAAAUAUUUACAAGCUAAUUGUCAUACCAGGAUAGCCUUUAUCUGUUGGGAGCUGUGGAAGAGCAGAUGCUAAUUCUUUUUCCAGAUCACCAUGCCUCAUCCGCUAGCAAUAGCCUCUCAAGCAGAGAAUGCAGCUUCAGAAUUUUUGCAAAUAAAACAUCAUAAGAGUCAAGGAGAGGCAGGUAUAUAUUGUUUCUACUUUUACCCCCACUUCUCUCACUCCCGCUACUAUAUCCCAUUCCUCCCUUCAUCACCACCAUAGAAACCGAUUCCCUAUUCCUACUAACCCUCCCAUUGCAAUCCAACUUGGAAAUUCCUUUAACUCGGCCCACCCUUUCUCUCACAACCAUACACAUACCCACCAUAACCCCAUCACCAAUCAACCAACAAUCAUUAACCCAAUUCGAGAAACUUCAAACGUUAAUUGGGAAAAGCCACCCACAGGCUCUAUCAAAAUUAACUUUGAUGCUGCUUGGAUUAGUGAAACUAACCUUGCUGGGCUUGGAGUUGUUGUGCGAAAUCAUCAUGACUCUCUAAUUGAUGGAGCCUCUCAAAGUUGCAGUGCGAACUCAGCGAUUGAAGUAGAAGCUCGAGCUGAUAUCUUAGCUCUCUCUCUCGCCAUGAAAUACUCUCACUUUCCUACCCGAAUUGAAUCAGAUUAGGGUUAGGCUCGAUCUUUCUAUGGAACUCUUGAGACGUACUGUGAUUGAUUUUCCUGAGUUCGAGGAGGAGUUGAUAAAGUACGAACGAUUGCCGGAGUUUUGCCAAGAGUGUGGAUUGAUGGGACAUCCCACGAGUGCUUGUUUCAAGAAGCUGGGCAUUCCUUUUAUAGAAGAAGGAGUUUACGAGUGAAAAGACCAUUUCAAGCAAAAAAGCCAGGAAAACAAACAGACUUGAAGAAUCUUACCUGUGAUUGCCCGGAUACAUAGAGCCCCUCCUCCGUGCAAACCGAUCUCUUGGUCUUGGAUACCCAGAAAAGCGAACUACACAGCUCAUCAUGUUGCGUCACUUAGUGUGAGGAAGACAUGUCUGGAUGUCUGGAUUGACAGACCAUCGUCCUCCCUGGUUCGUAUUCUCUCUCGCAACAGAUUGUCGUGUCCUCCGCCGGAAGGUGUUACUAAUCUAAACGUGUAGACUCUAUUUGUUUUUUCUGGGUUUUUUUAUGUCUCUUCUGUGUCGCUUGUGUUCUUCUUUACCUUUAUUUUGUCUUUUAAGCUUUUUCUUUUUUGUUGGGCUUAUCUAGUCUCCCAAUCCAGUUGGGUUUGUGACUAUGAAAGCUUGUUUCUGAUUAGGGAUGGCAAUAAUCCCCAGCGGGUAGGGUACCCACGGGUAUUCGACCCUAACGGGGAAGAUAUACUGGUAUAAACGGGUAACGGGGAUGGGGAUCCUUAGUAUUCGGAUUCUUAAAUCGGGUACGGGGCGGGUAUGGUAUUUUGAUAUUCGUCCCCAUCCCCACCCAUUAAGGAUGAAAAUAUUAUUAUAUAUAAUUAUAUAAUUUAUUAUUAUAUAUAUUUAUAUAUAAUUUAUAAAUAAAUAUUUAUGUAAAAAAAAUUUGUAAUUCUCUUAAUAAACAUUUAAUGGACCUUCCUUUUUAUUAUAUAUUUUUAUUCUCUUAAUGAAAUUUACCGGUAUUGUUAUGUUUUAACCAAGACUUGUAUUUAUUUUUAUUGGAUUGAAGUAUGAAACUUAUUUAUUUUGGUAUUUGAUUUUAAUUUCAUACUUUUAUAUAAUUGUAUUUCGUAUUUAAAAAAAAAAUUUAAUUUAAUACAUAAUUGUUAACGGGUACGGGUACGGGUAUGGAAACGUAAUCCCCAAAGGAUACGGGUACGGGGAAUCUCCAUUAUCUAAUUACGGGUACGGGGACGGGUACGGGGAUGAAAAAUGUAAAAAGGUAUGGGUACGGUAUUUUGAUCCCCGUACCCUACCCUACCCAUUGCCAUCCCUAUUUCUGAUGGGCCUGUGUUGUUGGCUUGGUUGGGUGUGCCCUUGGGCCUUUCAAUCAGUUAAUGAAUGUUUUUCAACGACCAAAAAAAAAUGAUUCAUACCAAAACGUAGCCAAAAAAAGAGGAUGCAGCCCAAAAAAAAAAAAGAAUAAGAGCCACGUCAGCCAGGUUUCCAACCAACUCGAUCGGCGUUGCUGAUCUUGUCAUCGUCAUCGAUCGGUACAUGAAUGGAGGCGGUCCUGGUGCUCAUUUCGAUGGAGGAAGAGGUAGGGGAGAGAGAGAGAGAGCACCGAGCGGCGUAUCUCAACUGUGGAAGAGGAUCUAGAGUACUAACCGGUGAUCGAGGGCGGUGACGGAAGGAAAGGCGAGGCGGAGGUGGAGGAUCUUGAACCCGUGCACUAGCGUGAUGUCGAUUGGGGACUUUUCCUAAUUCUCUAUUGCCUGUGUGAUUCUAUUUCUUUAUGUAGUAUUGGGCCUGAUUAUUUUGGGUCAUCUAUUUCUAAUGAAGUCAUUUACUCAUCACCCAAAACAAAACCAGAAAACAAACCGGUACAUGUUUAGUGCACACCUAUUUAAAAGUUACAUCUUCUUUUCAUUGGGCGGAGAAAUUUGAAAGUUAUGAUGAAGUUCAUGUGCUUCUCCUCAAUCCUCGUUAGUUUAUAAUCUCAUUGUUCACAAGCUCACAAUUCACAAAGUUGUAGAUGUCCGUAAAUUAUUCAAAUGGUGCGGGUGACUCGUUAAAGCAACAUCUUCCUUUGUUGGGAUGAUAGACUAGUCUCAAAUGUCCACAAAAUUACCUUUUCUCUUGGGGGUCUUGGUCUCUGCACUCAUAUCAUUUGGCGAUGAUUGACACCUGGCUUGGUGUGGUUAAAUUAGUAUUUAUCCCUAAUCUUGGAUUUGGGUUUUCUUAAGCCGAUCGAGGUCCCUCACAUAUAUAGUGGAUUUCCAGCAAAGAUCGAAUCUUAUUGGUCUCACAAAUCGAAUUCACAUGGGCUCUGACCAAUGGGAACUUGUGUCUAGGGACACUUACCAAACCCUAAUCAUUAUUAAUUAGUGCUUAAGCAGUUAAGCUAACCCCUAAUUAGAAUAGCAGAGGUGCAUUAGAUUUGUGAGGGCCGCGAUCUUCAUCACCAUGUCAGAUACGUACGUACCUCAUUUGUUAUAUAAGAUGUGAGAUACCUAUUUUAUUUUUUAUUUUGGUGAUCGACUCAACCCCAAAUUUUAGUUUACCCCUAAAAUACGUCCUCAAUAAACAUAUUCGCAAAUAGCAGAUUAGAUAGGUAGGUUUCUGUAUUAUAUGCAAUAUACAUUCUAGGGUUUAGAGAGUUUUGGGUUUUACAAUGCCUACUCUUUUCUCGCAGGGCUGUGAUGGCUUCAUAUACUCUGGUCGUGAUCCGGCCUCUAGAAUAAUGCGUACAAAUACCGAGAUGUACUUGUUCAGGUGAUACUGUUGUUUUUCUGGCAAAGAAAAUCUGAUAUGCGAGUCUGUGACAGUGCAGGUUGGGCGUACGGAUUGUGUUUGAUAAAUUAUCGCUUGCUAUGAGCUUGAUAAAGGCGUGCGUGCGAAGAUUAACCAUCGAUUGGUGCUAAUUUUGAUUAACUAGCUAGUUCUUCACGUGUGAGUCUCAGUAAUUGGUACUUGAAGUGUAAAACAUGUGCUUCACUUCAAAUAUAAAUAUAACUAGAAUUUUAAUUGCAUGAUUUUGAUGAAAUUGUUGUUAUGACAAUUGACAGAUUCUUGGAUGAAGACUAUGUUUGUGAUUCAACUCAUACGGCUUCGUGAUACUAUGAAUGAAAAAGUUCCAGUAACUGAUCAGAUCAGUCGUACAUGACAGUUCCUCGAGUUUUUGAUCGAAAUCCCAGUUUCAAUGGACCUUAGCAAAAAAAAAAAAAAACUCUAGCUUCAUUUUGGUCUGACAAGGGAGUCUAUAUAUAGCAGACAUCACUUCGUUACGAAGUUGUUCAAAAAACUUAACAUUAAACUUUUCUUCUCUUAGCUAGUUCAAUAAAGUUUAAUGAUCAAAAGUCCCCCACAUUUUGGGACUGAGGUAAAGUAUCCUCACACACAGAACCUCAAGAUCCUAAUAUCCCUUCACUUAGGGUUUCUGAAAAUCCCUUGUGUUAUUGUGCUACCACCAACUAAUAAUUAAAAAGGAAAUUUCUCCAUUUUGAUGUCAUGACAUUUUACUUCUUUAAGCUUUGCAUAAACAGUACGAUAACACUUUGCUUUCCUUCAUUUAUAGAAAUUGGUUUUGAUAUAUUACUAAUAUUUGCUAAUCGAUCAACCUAUAUAAAUAUAUAUAUAUAUAUAUAACUUUUCUCAAGUGCGGAUGUCCGCACUGUUUUACGGUGCGGAUUUUCGUCCGUUCGCUACCAUACGGCGCCGGCAAGGGCGCGCCUCCACCCCAGCCGACUCCAGCAGCUUCCCCGACCACUUUCCAUCCCCUGUGAGUCCGCCGAAUUCCAGUUUUCCGGCCAGAUUGACUUUGUUUGAAGUUUUGGGUGAUCUGGCCGGAAAACUGGAUUUCGACGGACUCGCCGGGGAUGGAAAGUGGUCGGGGAAGCUGCUGGAGUCCGCUGGGGUGGAGGCGCGCCCUCGCGCGGCGCCGUACGGUGGCGAACGGACGAAAAUCCGCACCGUUAGCAGAGACGGACUGUCUAUAUAUAUAUAUCAUUUCAUUAACAAUACCCACACGCGUCAUAGACUAAUACGGCUGAUGACGCCAUGAGCAUCCAGCAACAAAGGAUAUAUCUAUACUCUACUAUAUAUAGCUACCAAUUCAUAUAAUUAUAGUCAUUCUUUUUAGAAAUUAGGACUUAAUUAUACUUAGUGCAAAGCCACUAAUGUAAGUUUAAUACUGGUUAAGUAAUUAGAACCAACCAGUUUAUCACCUCACUAUUAGAAAAAUGGGGUUUCACUUUCACCCCUAGACCACGUUUUCGUGUGUAUAUAAAGCUCAUAGUGAGUCAAGUCUUAACGCAAACUAAGCUAGCUGCUUACAAACCGUAGAUUGAUCAAUACCGUAAGUACUACAGUUCUUUAGCUCAAUGCACCUGCUGUUCUUCUUAAUCCUUACGCUAACAAUAGUUUCACUAUUCAUCAAGCUAGAUUUCUAAUUUUUCAUUUUAAUUUUUUUUGCAGAGACCUUAAAGACACAGAGAAUCGAAACAACAUAAGGCCAGGGAUAUGGGAAGGGGGAAGAUUGUGAUCCGAAGGAUCGAUAAUUGUACGAGCAGGCAAGUGACUUUCUCAAAGCGUAGGAAGGGUUUGAUCAAGAAGGCAAAGGAGUUGGCGAUUUUAUGCGAUGCAGAAGUUGGACUUCUGAUCUUCUCAAGCACUGGAAAGCUUUAUGAAUGUGCAAGUAACAGGUUAAUUUGGUCAAUAAUAAUUGUCUUUGAUCUUUAUAAAUAUCGAUCCCUCGGAUUCUUGUUACUGCAGCUAGUUUUACAUGCUUUCUUGGAUCAAAUACUUCAUUAUUAUUUCUAUAUUUUGUAGAUCUUUCACCAGCUAUAUACCUAUAUGUCUGAUAAUUUUCUGCAUAUAUCAUGCAUAUAUACAGAAUGUGAUGUGUUAUGCAUAUAUUAAUGUUUGUAAAGAUACUUGGGUUAAUAAAUGUUUUUAUGUAAGAUUAAGUGUUGCAUGUUCGCUGUUUCAUCUAAACAAAAGAGAGGAUUAUGGUUUAAAAAUCAGUAAAUUGAUAUAUUCCAGUUUUUAGGUUAGAUAUAUAUGUAGUAGUUUAUUUUCAACGAAAACAAUGAAGAGACUUAAAAACAAUGAAAAAGAAAACUGUUGGUAUUCAUAAUCUACUAAACUUCCAGAUUAGACCAAUGGUUUGUCACAUGGUUAUACAUUUACGAAAAUUUACUUUUGUAUAUUAUCUUUUUUUGGUUCAUAAAAUGGUGGUCGGGUGGGACUACCACUCCGAGGCCGGGAGCAACAUGGGUAUGGCCUCUCCCCAUGAGGUGUUUUUCACUUGCGGAUGAUUGAAUCAAAAUUUUGAUCUAAUUGUUAUCAAAAUUUCAUCAGAUAACCUUGGUCUGACAAAAAUCUCUAUUUAUUUGAUAUAUAGGUUAGAUGAUCAAAUGAUUAAUGAUUUGAAUGAAUUUUAUGAGAGUAUAGUAUACUGCCUUGGCUUUGAGCUUGUAUCAACUUUCUCAUAAUUCUUUUGGAAACUUUUCUUCUUCUUUUUUCUUCGUUUUGUUAAUUUCACAACUGUACGUGCAACAUCUGAUUACUUCAUGUCCUUCCUCCAGCAUGAAAUUAGUCAUAGAGAGAUAUAACAAAACCAAAGAGGAACACCAGCGACUUCUUAAUCCAGCAUCAGAAAUGAAGGUCUUCUCUAUUACAAUUAUUUAUCACUACUUUCAUGUUUCUUUUUCUUUAUGUUUUGAUCCCCCCUGUUUGUUUGAGCUUAAAUUUAAUGUCAGGGUAAAAUUUUCCAAUCUUAAAACCACUGUGCAUCAACCAAGGUUGAAUUCUCCAUGAAUUUUCGUUUCAUAUAUAUUAUUUAUUUCCUCUCUUAAUUUGAAGAGAAAAGGUUUUCCAUGAGUUAGUCACUUUGUUUAGUCAUAUUUAUAGUCAUGAUUAUGUAAUGCAUCUUCCAUAUUUCUAGUAUAUGUCUACCUCAACAUGCAUUGUAGAAAAAUCUAUUAUAAACCCUUUUGUGCUACCAAGCUGCAAAAUUUCUUAUAUAUCUGUGAAAUUUUAAACCCUUUUGUGUUACCAAGCUGCAAAAAUAAUUCACCUGUCAAAAAUUCUAGACAUUCAACACUCUGAUAUGUAUUGGAUAGGUUUCAAUGAAAAAGAAAUCCAUCUCCCCGUGGUUUCCUGUACUUCCCUGGAUAACAAAGACAAGAGUACGUAGUACAAUAUUCUAGAGUCCUGCUUAAGCAAGUCAAACGAACUAUUCUUUAAUGGAAUUAUGUCAAUCUGUAUGUUUAAGUUUUUUCUGAAUCAUGAAUAUAUUUCAGAAGUUCUUUGAGAUUUCGAAAAUUUAUAGAUGUCAGAAAAGCUUACAUUCUACUCCAUCAUCAGGCAUGAAGAGAAAAUAUAACAUAGUAUAUCCAUUUCCUUGUCACUGAUCAAGUAACUAAGUUAGUUCGACUUCAACCUGAUUGUAAUAGCUUUGCACAAUUCGCUAUAUUCCUAGAAAACAAAAAAAUUUCGACGUCUGUUAAUAUACAAAUUGAAAUAUUUCUCAAUUGACUACAGAUAUGUAGCAAUGUAGUUGUGUCCUUAAUCCUUAGUCCGAACUCCUGACAUACACUGGAACACCAACUACAUACAUAUUAAGUAUCAUUCCCCACCAUGAAGAAAAAUGGUCGAGGCUUAAUUAGUUUCAGAUUCCCAUUUGAAGAAAGUUGAAUUAUCUUUGAACUUUCAGCUGCCACGAAUGUGAGAUGUACAUGUUAUCUUCGGAAACAAGGUCCUGAUGAUGGGAUAGUGAAGUAACAUAAUUCCAUUAUAUGAUAGUUCGUUUGUCUUGAUUAAGACGUACUGGUAGAAUAUGUAGGAACAAUCAGCUAAAACAAAAUGUACAUAUGCUGCAAGAAACUUGUUUAGUAAAUAAAUUAAACUUAGUAGCAAUGUGAAAAAUUACUAGUUUAAAAAAAUUUAAACAACUGCAUGAUCUUGAUGAACAAAACUUAAAUUUCCAAUGGAAUACAUUUGCAACCAAGGGGGAUGGAUAGCUUGUACCAUUGAUGUUUGCUAGUCUGAAACUGGUUUAAAAGGUUAUUUCUUGCUUCAGGCAUAUUUCUUAAAGAACUUCAUCAUUUCUCUUCAGAAUAUAUAAUUUUUUUUUUCUUUUGGAAGAUAAAUCUUGCAUUUAACUUGAAUUAUCACACUUGCUAGUUUUGGCAAAGGGAAGUCACCAUCUUACGGGAGCAACUACAGAACUUGCGAGAAAACCAUCGGUACAAACUUUCUCCUCCUUCGUUUUAGAAUUUUACAAUGUAUUUCAAAACACGCAUGAUGAAGACAAUAAUGUGCAUAUGUAUCCAAGCGAAAAUGAUAUUACAUUGAGCAUGUAUAUAUUUCAAUAACUUGAUGAUCAGCUUGACAAGAUAUAAUACAAGUGAGCAUUUGAUCCUUUACUGCUUAAUUAUCUUAGUUUCAUUGUGGUGAAUUGAAGAUCACCAACGAUAUAUAUUCGAGUAAUCCAGAUUCUGAUAUCUAUGACAGGCAGUUCAUGGGGGAACAGCUUUGUGGUUUGACUCUUAAAGAGCUAAAGGGUCUAGAAAAUCAAUUAGAAAUGAGUCUGCAGGGUAUUCGUUUGAAAAAGGUCCGUUCAAAGGCUUCACUCUCUCUAUAAUUUCUUUUCCUUUCUUCAUUUGUUUUUGGACAUGCUGCACAAUCCGUUAGGAUUAUCGAUUUGCAGUAUAUUACAAGUCUGAUAAAUAACAUGAAGUUUUAAUCCCCUGCAGGAAAAAAUGUUAACUGAUGAAAUUGAAGACCUAAAUGAAAAGGUUUUGUCCCGGAACACUUACAAUAUUUAGUUAUUCCUUGCUACACUUCCUAGUUCCUACUGUAAUCCUUGUCACUGUUUCCAUUUUUUCGUUCCUUACAGGGUAAUUUUAUUCAUCAACAAAAUUUGGAACUGUACAAGAAGGUAAUAAACCUUAGUUUUAAAAGAAAAAUUGGAUUUAAAUAAGAAUAUUCUGCUUUGGUUUGACCACGAACAUAAAUCGAUUAAAUCUUUCAAGAAAAUAAGGCCUUAUUACGUAGCUAUAAGCAGCAUUAACUGUGAGGCUUCUUGUAUCAGGUUUUUGGCACAAGCUCCCUGAAUUCUGAAAAUCGAAGUGGUUGCAUUCCCUUUGGCAUGAGCACAAAUGCACAAAUGAGGAGUCACAUCUCCCCAUCCGCCUUCAGCUAAGCCGAGAUGGUCAACAAACUUAAGAGGCUAUUCCAAGUUAGUGCUAUAUAUGAGAGUUAUUAUUCUAAAUUUCUGUUUUGGUUGAAAAUUUUAUCUGAAAUAUGGUUAUGUAACUCUGCAGCAGUCUAUAUAUGAAAGCAGUGAGAGGACUUUGGACAAAUGCCCUAAACCACAUACCUUAUGACCCAAGCAAGUACAAAAGAGUGCGCUCUUCCAGUUCUUCUUAUGAGAUGAACAAGUAGAAUACCUCAACGAAACUUAUAUUAUACUUGUAUAUGUUUGACUAUAUAUGAAUUUAGCUAAAGUCAUCAGCAAAUGUCCUGUAUUAUCUUGACUAGCUCAAUCGGAGAAAAUGAUUCUUCUUCAUCAUGGGAUUCAUUUGGUACUUCGAUUCUGCGAAUUUCAUUUUACCCAAAAUUCUUAAGAAACGUGGCCGAGCACAAGUUUACCGAAGAAGACAUCGACAUGAAUGUGUUCAAGUCCAAGUCCAUACUGAGUCAAGGAUCACUUCAAAAUUACUUCGUCUUUCUUGGCAAAGAACCAAACGAAAACAGAGACGAAAGUAAUAGCAGCAGUCUAACACCUCAGUAACUAAUAAGAUCCAACAAUGUCCCCAUAUAUUAUAGCUAACAUAAAAUAGCUCAGUACUACUUCAAUCGAUCUUUCUUCUUCAUAUAACUAUGUGGAUGUGAGGAAUUGACCUACCAGCUAACUGUUUCAAAUGUAGAUAAUAGUUCAGGCCCUGGUCUAUUUAUAUAUGUGAGAUCGUUAUGAAAACUUUUGCUCUCUAACAAAAAGAUUGAAACCUAUAAAAUUUUAGUCCAAUGGUUCAAACUGGUACUACCAGCAAUCUAGCAUACGAUUUUUCAGAAGGAAAACAGAAUAGGCAGUACUACUGAGAGGAAAACCACAACACUCAGAUUUCCAUAGAUCUGAAUCAAGUUUGAGCAAAAUGUUAAUGAAUCUAUACUUACACAAUAGUACUAUCACCGAUCUAGAUCACCGUCCCAUCUGACAUUGUUAAACACUUGUGAACGGCGUCCGGGCUCUUCUUCAUACAAGUGACACCCAUCGUCGAAGUUCUGCGAAUAGCUCACCGCAUCAUACUGAAACGACACAGCUUUGCUUGAUCCAUAUAUGCUUCUAAUUCUUCUUCUUCUGCCCCCAUCGCUCAUCACCAACCUCCUGAGAAAGUUUCUCCAUCUCCUCGGGCUUCUCUUGUUUUCACCACAGCUCUCCAUGCGACUGUACCCCAAUUCUUCGUGCACCGGGAAACACGACGGCGACAUCAUGCACCCCGGAAGGUAAGUCGAUCGCCGGGGAGGGAUGAGAUCCCCUUCCAUUGAGUAGUUUUACCGAACAAGCUAGCUAGUUCUUGGCUCUUACUAGAGCUUUGGCUAUAUGAGUUGGGUGAAGAUGAUGCUACAUGUAUAUAACUAUAUAUAUGUAGGUAUUGAUUAUAUUAAGCAUGAUCAACGUAAAAUGUUAUCGGUUACAGCCAGUUUCGUGGGCCUCGUACAUGUUAUAUUUCGAGUAUGAAAAUGAUAGCACAUUGCAGAGAUAGACAAAACCUCACUUGUCCCAAAAGCAUAUUUCACACCAAUUGUCCUAGAAUAAUUGUUUUGGUGGGUUAUUCUAUAUGUUAUCUACCAAAGCUUCAAUCUUACCUUAUUUUCUUUCUCUUGACAAACUUAAUUGGUGAGGCUUAAGUUUAGGGUUCGUUGCCUUCCAUUUCGUAUGCUAAAUUUCGAGCCGAUGUAGGUGUGUAAUUUAUGUUGAUAUCGUGUCUAUUGACAUGUUUAAACACAGAGCGGAAGGAAAGAACAGACCAAGCAAGAAAUUAAUUAAGCACAUAGUUAGCAACGAUGAUCUUGUAGAGAGAUUCAAAAAGCAAACUGAAGCAAAAUGAUUGAAGGGAAUUAUUAACAGCCAUGAAAACUUUCCAAGAUGAGAAAAGAGAGA